GAUGAACGCUGGCGGCGUGCCUAACACAUGCAAGUCGAGCGAUUCUCUUCGGAGAAGAGCGGCGGACGGGUGAGUAACGCGUGGGUAACCUGCCCUGUACACACGGAUAACAUACCGAAAGGUAUGCUAAUACGAGAUGAUAUAUGGAAGUUGCAUGACUUUUAUAUCAAAGCUUUUGCGGUACAGGAUGGACCCGCGUCUGAUUAGCUAGUUGGUAAGGUAACGGCUUACCAAGGCGACGAUCAGUAGCCGACCUGAGAGGGUGAUCGGCCACACUGGAACUGAGACACGGUCCAGACUCCUACGGGAGGCAGCAGUGGGGAAUAUUGCACAAUGGGCGAAAGCCUGAUGCAGCAACGCCGCGUGAGCGAUGAAGGCCUUCGGGUCGUAAAGCUCUGUCCUCAAGGAAGAUAAUGACGGUACUGAGAGAAGCCCCG
rnacentral:rRNA from 1 species